rnacentral:rRNA from 1 species
AUUGAACGCUGGCGGCAUGCCUUACACAUGCAAGUCGAACGGCAGCACGGGGCAACCUGGUGGCGAGUGGCGAACGGGUGAGUAAUGCAUCGGAACGUACCUUUCAGUGGGGGAUAACGUAGCGAAAGUUACGCUAAUACCGCAUAUUCUGUGAGCAGGAAAGCAGGGGAUCGCAAGACCUUGCGCUGAUUGAGCGGCCGAUGUCAGAUUAGCUAGUUGGUGAGGUAAAGGCUCACCAAGGCGACGAUCUGUAGCGGGUCUGAGAGGAUGAUCCGACACACUGGAACUGAGACACGGUCCAGACUCCUACGGGAGGCAGCAGUGGGGAAUUUUGGACAAUGGGGGCAACCCUGAUGCAGCCAUGCCGCGUGAGUGAAGAAGGCCUUCGGGUUGUAAAGCUCUUUCGGCCGGGAAGAAAUCGCACGGGCUAAUACCCUGUGUGGAUGACGGUACCGGAAUAAGAAGCACCGGCUAACUACGUGCCAGCCGCCGCGGUAAGAC